ACACUCUGGAUUUCCUUCAAAACACGCUUAAAUCUUUCGCCUUUUACUAAAGAUUUCCGUGGAGGAGAUCAAUUGAUGAGUCUAUAAGACAAUUUUUUGUGUGCCUGGCGCAAGCCGGGUC